GUUGGGUAACACUAACUGGAGGACAGAACCGACUAAUGUUGAAAAAUUAGCGCAUGACUUGUGGAUGGGGGAGAAAGGCCAAUCAAACCGGGAGAUAGCUGGUUCUCCCCGAAAGCUAUUUAGGUAGCGCCUAGUUCCUUCACCCGAAAGCUAUUUAGGUAGCGCCUCGUGAACUCAUCUUCGGGGGUAGAGCACUGUUUCGACUAGGGGGUCAUCCCGACUUACCAACUCGAUGCAAACUGCGAAUACCGAAGAAUGUUAUCACGGAGACACACGGCGGGUGCUAACGUCCGUCGUGAAGAGGGAAACAACCCAGACCGCCAGCUAAGGUCCCAAAGUCAUGGUUAAGUGGGAAACGAAGUGGGUAGGCUCAGUCAGACAGGAUGUUGGCUUAGAAGCAGCCAUCAUUUAAAGAAAGCGUAAUAGCUCACUGGUCGAGUCGGCCCGCGCGGAAGAUGUAACGGGGCUAAACCAUGCACCGAAGCUGCGGCAGCGACACAAUGUGUUGUUGGGUAGGGGAGCGUUCUGUAAGCCUGCGAAGGUGUACUGUGAGGUAUGCUGGAGGUAUCAGAAGUGCGAAUGCUGACAUAAGUAACGAUAAUGCGGGUGAAAAAC
rnacentral:rRNA from 1 species